rnacentral:tRNA from 1 species
UAACGGUAAUAAUUCUCCCAGCCAUGCGUGAACGUGGGUCUGUCCCAUUUUAAACGUCAACCCUUUAUCAAAGGC